GAAGCAUCGAUGAUGAGUUAAUCCAAAAUGUUAUCCUUGCACUAUGAUUUUUCCCGUGAAGAAAAAAAUUGGGGAAGGUUUUAUUCUCUGAGAUGCUG
rfam:Eucalyptus grandis cultivar BRASTZ1 unplaced genomic scaffold scaffold_11, whole genome shotgun sequence.